rnacentral:rRNA from 1 species
CGCUGGCGGCGUGCCUAAUACAUGCAAGUCGAACGGUCGUUUCUAGUGGAAGCUUGCUUCCACUGAGAAGAGUAGUGGCGAACGGGUGAGUAACGACGUGGGUAACCUGCCCAUAAGAGGGGGAUAACAUCCGGAAACGGGUGCUAAUACCGCAUAGUUUUCUUGAUCGCAUGAUUGAGAAAGGAAAGACGGCCUUUGUGCUGUCGCUUAUGGAUGGACCCGCGGCGUAUUAGUUAGUUGGUGAGGUAACGGCUCACCAAGACGAUGAUACGUAGCCGACCUGAGAGGGUGAUCGGCCACAUUGGGACUGAGACACGGCCCAAACUCCUACGGGAGGCAGCAGUAGGGAAUCUUCCGCAAUGGACGAAAGUCUGACGGAGCAACGCCGCGUGAGUGAAGAAAAGGUUUUCGGAUCGUAAAACUCUGUUGUCAGAGAAGAACAAGUUGGAGAGUAACUGCUCCAGCCUUGACGGUAUCUGACCAGAAAGCCACGGCUAACUACGUGCCAGCCGCAGC